GAUGAACGCUAGCGGCAGGCCUAACACAUGCAAGUCGAGGGGGAAGUUACUUUCGGGUGACUGAGACCGGCGUACGGGUGCGUAACGCGUAUACAAUCUGCCUUUCACUGGGGGAUAGCCCGAAGAAAUUUGGAUUAAUACCCCAUAGUAUAUAGGGACGGCAUCGUUUUUAUAUUAAAGCUUAGGUGGUGAAAGAUGAGUAUGCGUUCUAUUAGCUAGUUGGAGAGGUAACGGCUCCCCAAGGCGAUGAUAGAUAGGGGUUCUGAGAGGGAUGUCCCCCACACUGGUACUGAGAUACGGACCAGACUCCUACGGGAGGCAGCAGUGAGGAAUAUUGGACAAUGGUCGGAAGACUGAUCCAGCCAUGCCGCGUGCAGGAUGAAGGUCUUAUGGAUUGUAAACUGCUUUUGUAAGGGAAGAAUAAGGGCUACGCGUAGUUUGAUGACGAUACCUUACGAAUAAGCAUCGGCUAACUCCGUG
rnacentral:rRNA from 1 species